AAUGAACGUUGGCGGCGUGGAUUAGGCAUGCAAGUCGUGCGCGAUGAGUUUGGUGCUUGCAUUAAACUCUGAAAGCGGCGAAAGGGAGAGUAACGCGUGGAUCAUCUACCCUCGGGUCUGGGAUAGCUGCGGGAAACUGCAGGUAAUACCGGAUGAUGUCCCUGGACCAAAGGUGCAAUUCCGCCUGAGGAUGAGUCCGCGUCCUAUUAGCUAGUUGGUGGGGUAAUGGCCCACCAAGGCAAAGAUGGGUACCGGGUGUGAGAGCAUGGCCCGGCUCACUGGGACUGAGACACUGCCCAGACACCUACGGGUGGCUGCAGUCGAGAAUCUUCCGCAAUGGACGAAAGUCUGACGGAGCGACGCCGCGUGCGGGAUGAAGGCCUGGUGUAACGCUGUCAGAAGGAGGAAAUACGAUAAGGUUACGUCUCUUAUGUUUGUACCGAUCUUCUAGAGGAAGUCCGGGCGUAAGUU
rnacentral:rRNA from 1 species